rnacentral:rRNA from 1 species
AGAGUUUGAUCCUGGCUCAGGACGAACGCUGGCGGUGUGCUUCACACAUGCAAGUCGAGCGAAUGAAGUAGGUAGCUUGCUACUUAUGGAUUUAGCGGCGGACGGGUGAGUAAUAUAUAGGAAUCUGCCUUAGAGCGGGGAACAACAGACCGAAAGGUUUGCUAAUGCCCCAUAGGUAUGCAGUCUUCGGAUUGUAUAUUAAAGGAGUAAUCCACUCUAAGAUGAGCCUGUAUCCGAUUAGCUAGUUGGCGGGGUAAAGGCCCACCAAGGCUACGAUCGGUAGUUGGUCUGAGAGGAUGAUCAGCCACAAUGGGGCUGAGACACGGCCCAUACUCCUACGGGAGGCAGCAGUGGGGAAUUUUACACAAUGGGGGAAACCCUGAUGUAGCGACACCGCGUGAACGAAGAAGCCUUUUGGGGUGUAAAGUUCUGUCGGCUGGAACGAAAAAAAUGACGGUACCAGCAAAGGAAGCAUCGGCUAACUACGUGCCAGCAGCCGCGGUAAGACGUAGGAUGCAAGCGUUGUCCGGAUUUAUUGGGCGUAAAGAGUUCGUAGGCGGUUAUUUAAGUCUGAUGUUAAAUACUGUGGCCCAACCACAGAACUGCAUUGGAUACUGGAUGACUUGAGUGCGGUAGAGGCAAGUGGAAUUCCCAGUGUAGCGGUGAAAUGCGUAGA